GUCAGAAAUUUAGAAGGAUUCGCCCCCCACCGGAAAGAGUGAAUUUCCGCCACUGCACACUGGUACAGACAGUUUUAGUAUGUUCACAGAACAACUGAACAAUCUGCGGAUGGGGAGACAAAAUCUAUUUGUUGACAUUUCUGUUUAAUAUCAUGUCAGCUUCAGAUGACACCGUUCAUUUGUAAUGACUAAGAUUGUACUCAGUCAUAACUGCAAAACUAUAUAAUAAGAAAGAAAUUGCGAGCAUUAUCAAAAAAUAUAGUAUACCCUGAACACAGCCAGGUGAAUAUGUGAAUGUAGGUUGGUAGCCGGUAGGACUAUUUCAUAUUAUGCUAACAAUGGACAUAUCUCAGAGAAUAUAUUUUCACAGACCGUCAUAUACCUCGUACAAAAGGCGGUUGACAUGUUAUAUUACAUGUAACUGCUGGUAAGUUAGCUAAUAUGUGCAGACAACAAUCCAC